rnacentral:lncRNA from 1 species
CUUUGAUGGGCUGCUGACAUCAGCAAAUAUUCUUGAAGCCCAUAAAGCAAACAAGCCACAUCACAGGGAGAAGGCUUGUGGGAUUUUCUCUGUUGCUGUCUUUCUAGAACCCUUCCCUCUCCCAACCACCUGAAGAUAUUUCUCUGGUCAGCUCUCCAAGCAGCGAGGAGUCUUUAUAUAUAACAAAGGGCUAGCCUAGCCUGCUGAGUUUUGCUUUCAUCCAAAUCAAUUAUAUUCCUAAAAGGCACUCUCUGUGUGGGUAGAGAGGGGAGAAUGGGGACAGACCAGGAGGAGACAAUAGGUACUUUUACGAAGAGCUUUUUGCAAAACCUUGCAAAACUGAGAAAGAUAUAGGUAUAAAAAGCACCAAAACAGUGCUUGUGUAUAGGAAGUGCUAAGUAAAUAAUAAAUAAGUUUGGUUUCAUUCACAUGCACUGGGCAUGGGAGCAAGUGCAUAAGUGAUGCUCCAGCCCCUGAUGUCAGCGACCCUGUGUUCUCCAGGCCUCCCCAAAAUCCUGGGAGGAACCAGCAAGCUCUGGGAGAAGAGGAGGGAGUGCAGGUUCCACAUCAGCCAGUCCCAUGCUUUUUUUGGAACCGAGACAAUCAAUUGUGUAUUGAUGUGAAUUAUCCCAUUCUUGGCCAUCUCCCAAAC